rnacentral:rRNA from 1 species
AACGAACGCUGGCGGCAGGCUUAACACAUGCAAGUCGAGCGCCCCGCAAGGGGAGCGGCCGACGGGUGAGUAACGCGUGGGAACGUACCUUUUGGUUCGGAACAACUCCGGGAAACUGGAGCUAAUACCGGAUAAGCCCUAACGGGGAAAGAUUUAUCGCCGAAAGAUCGGCCCGCGUCUGAUUAGCUAGUUGGUGAGGUAACGGCUCACCAAGGCGACGAUCAGUAGCUGGUCUGAGAGGAUGAUCAGCCACACUGGGACUGAGACACGGCCCAGACUCCUACGGGAGGCAGCAGUGGGGAAUAUUGGACAAUGGGCGCAGGCCUGAUCCAGCCAUGCCGCGUGAGUGAUGAAGGCCUUAGGGUUGUAAAGCUCUUUUGUCCGGGAAGAUAAUGACUGUACCGGAAGAAUAAGCCCCGGCUAACUUCGUG